rnacentral:rRNA from 1 species
AUUGAACGCUGGCGGCAGGCUUAACACAUGCAAGUCGAGCGAGCGGCGGACGGGUGUGUAAUGUCUGGGAAACAGUGCGAUGGAGGGGGAUAACUAUUCGGAACGGUAGCUCAUACCGCAUACCACCUGAUGUGCCCAGAUGGGAUUAGCUCGUAGGUGGGGUAACGGCUCACCUAGGCGACGAUCCCUAGCUGGUCUGAGAGGAUGACCAGCCACACUGGAACUGAGACACGGUCCAGACUCCUACGGGAGGCAGCAGUGGGGAAUAUUGCACAAUGGGCGCAAGCCUGAUGCAGCCAUGCCGCGUGUGUGAAGAAGGCCUUCGGGUUGUAAAGCACUUUCAGCGGGGAGGCGUUACCCGCAGAAGAAGCACCGGCUAACUCCGUGCCAGCCGCCGCGGUAAUAC